CAUCAAUUGAAGUAGAGGGGAACGGCCAACCAUUGUUGUAAAACCCAACACAACCGUCGGAUCUCACGAAAAACAAUAAUAAUUAAAAAAAAAAAAAUCAUACCUUCCUCAAAUCCAGAACUACCAAACCAAGCACAAGCACAAGCACAAGCAGAGACCAAGGAUCAGAUCAAUUAGGGCGACAAAAUACUGAAAGAGAGAGAAAAAGGAGGUUUCUAACAGAAGAAGGAUAGGGGCCUGUGUGUCCAAACCUGCUGCAGCGGCGGCGGCUGAGAGAGCCUCUUCGACGGAGGUGGUGCAGAGGCUCUCACAGCCGGCGGCAGCAGCAGCGGCGGCAACAACAACAAAAGCAACAGCGGCAGCUGGAGAACCGGUGAGUUUAGCUCAUUCGAAAUCGGAGAAGAUGAAGGGGCUUUUCAAGAAUAAGCCUCGUACUCCUACCGAUAUCGUUCGUCAGACUCGAGAUAUCCUCAUCUAUGCCGACCGCACCUCCUCCUCCGAUCCACGAGAUGCCAAGCGUGAAGAAAAGAUGGCAGAGCUGUCUAAAAAUAUCAGGGAUUUAAAGUCAAUUCUUUAUGGCAAUAGUGAAUCUGAGCCGAUUGCAGAAGCUUGUGCACAAUUGACUCAAGAGUUUUUCAGAGAAAAUAAUCUCCGUCUUUUGAUCAUUUGUCUUCCGAAAUUGAACUUGGAGACCCGAAAAGAUGCCACUCAAGUUGUUGCAAAUUUACAAAGACAACAAGUUCAGUCACGGUUGAUUGCAUCUGAAUACCUGGAAAAGAACACAGAUCUUUUGGAUAUUUUAAUAGGAGGUUAUGAAAACUCAGACAUGGCCUUACACUAUGGUGCAAUGUUGAGGGAGUGCAUACGUCACCAGAGCAUCACAAGGUAAUUUAUCUAAAAAUUCAUUGGCUGCAUCAUAUGCAUAUAUGAUUUUCUUUUAUUUAAUUUUUUUGGGGCAGCUUUAAUACAUUUCCGCUCUGCAAGUGGAAAUGAUCAUUAUGUUCCUCUAUUUUAAAAUUGUUCGUCAGUUUCUGGAUAUAAAUAUAUAAUUUUUUUCUAAAUUCAUAUUUUUAAUCAUCUUUUAAGUCUUAAGUACUUUGGUAGGUAUGUCUUGGAAUCAGAGCACAUAAAGAAUUUUUUUAACUACAUACAGCUUAACUUUUGAUAUUGCAGCAGAUGCUAUGGCAACUUUCAAGGUUGAGUUAUCUUCCAUUUUCUUCUUGGCAUUGUUCUUUUCUUAAUUUGCCUGUUUGUGUAUUAUAAUUGCAUUUUUUGCAAGCAAGGUGAUUUUAUUAUAAAAUAUGUUCCAGGAGCUUUUGACGAGGCACAAGUCUACUGUUGCUGGAUUCCUUUCAAAAAAUUAUGAUUGGGUAAGUUUCUUCUGAAAUGGUAAUUUUUUGUGUAAAAGUAAGUUUCCAUUUUGACACUUGAAUCCUACAUGUUCUUAAUAAGAACUAUUUGUGUAGAAGCUGGAAAGUUCAGUCUACUUUUUUCAUUCUUAAAUUGGAUGAGUAGAGUAGACUUUGAUAUAAAGAGAGGAAAAAGAACGAGUAAAAUAGGAUCAAUAUUUCACCUGAAUGUUUCACUUGUUCGAAGCAUGAUUAUGAUUUUCCAUGGAAAUUAAACCCAUAGUUCUAUUGUUGAAAGCAUAGAACCACAAAAUGUGGCUGGAGUUCAGGAAGCAAAUCUGUCUAAUUUUCUAAGGUUCGCUAUUUGUUAGGUUUAUAAGUUUUCUCAUUACGCUCAAGUACAUUCUGAUCUGAGCAGGAGAUGCAUAUUUUAUUUAUGUGUAUGAAUUGUUCCAUCCACCUCUCUCUGUUGGUGGGGGAUGGGGGUGAUAGGAUCAGAAAAGUCCAUCCAAUUUAUUGUGGUAAAUGAUAAUAGCUUGUUUUAAAUACUUCGAUUACUGGCAAUUUAACUUUUUCCAACCAUUUUAUUGCCUCUAGUUCUUUCAGGAUUUUAAUUCCAAGCUGCUGGAAUCUGAGAGUUAUAUCACCAAACCACAAGCUGUGAAGCUGUUGGGUGAAAUUUUACUUGAUCAUUCAAAUUCUGCAGUCAUGGUACGAUAUGUGAGCUCCAAAGAUAACUUGCGGAUUCUAAUGAAUCUUCUAAGGGUGUGUUGCUCUUUCUCUUUGAUUGUCAAGGAGACCUAGUUUUUUUAAUCUUAUGCCUACUUAACUGAAGUCCUUGAAGAGGAAAGAAAGUGUGGAAGUAGCAGCAUCCACUACUUCGUUAAGAUAUCAUGUCCCAAUCCAGACUUUCUCAUUGUAUAAAUUUCUAUAGCAAUCAAAUGGAGCAACUAUGUAUGCUAAUGGAUUCAUGUUUUAUUUUGUUUUUUUAUUUCUAUUUCAGGAAUCAAGCAAGAACAUCCAGAUGGAUGCAUUUCAUGUGUUCAAGGUUUUACUCAAAUGUUUGACAUAAUUAUUUAUUCCCAACUUUUUUUUUUUAAACUUGUGCUCUUUUCUCAUUGUUUAUAGCUAUUUGCUGCUAAUCAAAACAAACCUCCUGAGAUUGUUACUAUACUCAUUGUAAAUGGAAGCAAGCUUCUGCGAUUCUUGGCAGACUUUAAGAUGGAUAGAGAAGAUGAGCAAUUUGAGGAAGAUAAGGCUCAGGUGGUCAAAGAAAUUGCUGAAUUAGAACAAGCAGGCAGUACGUGAAUGGCCAUGGAGAAAUGCAAAACCUAUAUUAGUUAGUUGCAUUUAAGUAUCUGGCAGCUGAGGUAAGCAGAUGGCAUAGCGGGGCAGGGCGUCAGUUAGAGAUAACAGGUUCAAAAGAAACUGCUCCUUGUACAAAACUCUUUCCUGAAACAAACGAGGGUGAAUGUUUUGCUAGAAUUUUUGUAAUUUUAUCUCUCAUGAUACAGAAGAUUAAUGAUUAUUACUCAAAUGGGAGUUCGAAAUCAACAAUGCAGCUCUGUGUCUUCAUUGUCAAAAAUAGGAUAAGCAAGCAAGUUUUCGGGUAGGAAUUAGAACUUAUACACAUUGUAAGUUCCAUUCUCUACAAGUGAAAUUGCAAUUUUUUUAAAGAAACUCAAAUUCGACAGUGCACAGCAUGCUAGGCAAAUUUCAGGAAGAAAUCUUAGAAAGUUUGCUUUAAAUAAUAACGUACUAUCAUCAAUUCACACAGCUUAUCAGCUAACAUAUCAUCCAAGGUUGUGAACGUUAACAGUACUUCUAUUUUGAUACUGGAAAAAAGAGCAUUUACCUGCCCCCAGAUGCAAUAAUCUUGAAGACCAGAGCAGAUUUGACCUAACGGACCUCAAUGAAGUUAUGUUAGAGAAGGCUUGGUCAGCAAUCAACAAAUAAACCUGCCCUUCGUGCAUGCAGCCUCUCAUCCCAGUUACAACUCGAUAGAUGGUAAACCAUCGUCAUUUCAUUAUCACAGGGUGAGUUCUUGUUACCCAAAAAAUUUCCCCCCUAAAAUUUACAAUUAUUCUGAAAGCCAAAGCCUUUUUUAAGACCAAAAUGAAAGUACAUGCACCUUCUUCGCAAACAUAAACGACCGAUGAGUCAAGAUUCCUUUUUAUAAUAGCAUUUCUACAUCAUUAGUAUACUGGGUUAAUUCAGCUCAAAUUGGAAGAAGCUAUAAUGGUAAAAAUUUUUAAUUUAGGUAAACAUUCAGCACAGGAUAAGCUUGCAAUCUAUGAUCAACUAAUCAUCUUCUGUGUAGAUGAAGAAGUGAUUUUGACUAGUGUCAGAUAUCAGAUUUGAUCUCACUUCCGACACAUAUCACAACAAUGUUGCUGAUAUAAUAAUUGCACACAUUACACCUCCUGCAGGAUACAACCAAAACUUGCGAAAAGCAAAAUAAAUUUGUCUGUGCUAGCUGUAUUCAUUGGGGUUUUCCCUACUAAGGAUGAGAGGGACACCAUCUUCCCUCCAAAUUAUUCGUCCUUCACAUAAUGCCGCUGUUACCUCAACAUAUAACUGAUGCUCCUCUCUGAGAACCCUUGCAGCCAGCUCCUCUGCAGUAUCAUUUGCAAGCACAGGGACAACUCUUUGAGCAAGGAUACGCCCUGUGUCAUAAUGCUGGUCAACAAAAUGGAUAGUUGCCCCCGAGUAUCUUGCUCCAGAAGCGAUGACUGCUUUAUGAACCUUCAUACCAUAGUAGCCUUUGCCUCCAAAGGCUGGAAGAAGUGAUGGAUGGAUAUUUAAUAUGCAUUUGGGAUAAGCUUGGAUCAAUUCUACUGGUAUAAGUUUGAGAUAUCCAGCUAGAAGAAUGAAGUCAACAUCAAAUUCCCUAAGAGCAGAUAAAAGGUCACUCGGGGAUAGUCCAUCAGGUUCAUCUUUGGUUCUAGGAAACAAAAUAACGGGGAUUUCCUUAUUUCUUGCAUACUCUGCACCUCCACAAUCGUGUUUAUUAGUGACCAAAACGACAACAUCACCAUGGACUGAUCCCUGAAGGCAAGCUUGAUGAAUUGACUUGAAAUUUGAACCUCCGCCGGAGACAAAAACUGCAAGCUUUUUCCUUUGGAGCUCAGGGUUCUUGUAAUCUUCCUCGUCAAAAACAGCAUUCCCCAAUUUCUCUGUACUUUUCACACAUCCUAAUCUCUUAAAAGAUGCUUUUACACUUGUUGGAGACACUGAUUUGAGGGUUUUGAAGCAGACAGCGGAACAAGAAGAAGAAGAAGAAGAAGAAC
rnacentral:misc_RNA from 1 species